CACAUGAUUGUUUUCAGCCAAUCGUGAGGCAGGUUUCCUUCUUAUACAUAACAAUAGGUGCUGAAUAAGUGGCAGGCUUAUAGUAUGAGCAGAGGUCAGAGAGACAUUAAGGGGUUUUGUGCAGUGUCCACCAAGGAGAUACCAACCAGCCAUGAGCAUCCUGCAUGGCCUCUUUCCUGUUUUCUUGCUGCUGCUACUGGCAGCUCUAGGAGAUGGGAUCCUUUUACAUCUGAUAGACUCAUUGGCUUGCAAGGGGAAGCAUGGCAGGUGCAGGAAAGCUUUCUGCUUUCUGAACGAGAGGCAAAUUGGGAUGUGUACCUUUCGUAGACGGUUCUGCUGCAGAAGGAAGAAAUAAAGAGCCGGCAGACCUGAGAGCUAAGAAAGAGUGAAGAUUUGGAGUCUGUAGGGAGAAGAACGUGUAACAGAAGGGCUGGUGGCAUCAAGAGGAAUAAUUGCUGUUCUCUGUUAGAUACAACCUAUUGCUCCUUCUUCUUCCUUUAAUUUCAAACAAAACUCGUGGCCAUGAUCGUGUCCUAUAUUUUCCUCUGCUACUGUUGUCAUCAUAUAGAUACUGUAGUCCCAAAUUCUGGCUCCCCAUGAAAUUUAGGAGUCUGUGGCACCUGAAUCUGGAUCCAAAUAUGUAUUUUGCA